AACGCAUGCAAGUCGAACGAGAAGCUUAUAUUCGUAUGAGCGGAAAGUGGCGAACGGGUGAGUAACACGUUGGUGACCUGCCUUCGAGAGGGGGACAACCACUGGAAACGGUGGCUAAUACCCCAGAUGCUACGCUAUUUAGAAAAGCGUAACUAAAGCUCCGGUGCUCGAAGAGGGGCCAGCGUCCCAUCAGCUAGUUGGCGAGGUAACGGCUCACCAAGGCGAAGACGGGUAGGGGACGUGAGAGCGUGACCCCCCACACUGGUACUGAUACACGGACCAGAUACCUACGGGUAGCAGCAGCGAGGAAUAUUGCGCAAUGGGCGAAAGCCUGACGCAGCAACACCGCGUGGAGGAUGAAGGCCCUUCCGGGUUGUAAACUCCUUUUCUGGGGGAAUAGAAUGGAAGGUACCCCAGGAAUAAGCUCCGGCUAACCUACGUGCCCAGCAGCCCGCGGUAAAACGUAGGGAGCAAGCGUUAUCCGGAAUUACUGGGCGUAAAGGGCACGCAGGCGGUUUGCUAAGUUGGAUGUGAAAGCUCUCGGCUUAACUGGGAGAGGCCAUUCAAAACUGGCAGACUUGAGAUAGACAGAGGAAAGUGGAAUUCCCGGUGUAGUGGUGAAAUGCGUAGAUAUCGGGAGGAACACCAGUGGCGAAAGCGGCUUUCUGGGUCUAAUCUGACGCUGAGGUGCGAAAGCUAGGGGAGAGAACGGGAUUAGAAACCCCGGUAUUCCUAGCCGUAAACGAUGUCAACUAGGUGUUGGAGGUAACCAAUCCUUCGGUGCUGCAGCAAACGCGAUAAGUUGACCGCCUGGGGACUACGGCCGCAAGGCUAAAACUCAAAGGAAUUGACGGGUCCCCGCACAAGCAGCGGAGCGUGUGGUUUAAUUCGAGGCCACGCGAAGAACCUUACCCGGGUUUGACAUAAUGGUGGUAGCGACUCGAAAGAGAAGCGACCCUUCGGGGAGCCAUUACAGGUGCUGCAUGGCUGUCGUCAGCUCGUGCCGUGAGGUGUCAGGUUAAGUCCUGUAACGAGCGCAACCCUCAUCGUUAGUUACAAGUGUCUAGCGAGACUGCCCAUGAUAAGUGGGAGGAAGGUGGGGAUGACGUAAGUCAGCAUGGC
rnacentral:rRNA from 1 species